CACCGCCGCGGUAAUACGAAGGGUGCAAGCGUUACUCGGAAUUACUGGGCGUAAAGCGUGCGUAGGUGGUGGUUUAAGUCCGUUGUGAAAGCCCUGGGCUCAACCUGGGAAUUGCAGUGGAUACUGGGUCACUAGAGUGUGGUAGAGGAUAGUGGAAUUUCCGGUGUAGCAGUGAAAUGCGUAGAGAUCGGAAGGAACAUCUGUGGCGAAGGCGACUAUCUGGGCCAACACUGACACUGAGGCACGAAAGCGUGGGGAGCAAACAGGAUUAGAUACCCGAGUAGUCCCUGUCUCUUAUACA
rnacentral:rRNA from 1 species